rnacentral:rRNA from 1 species
UACGGAAGGCAGCAGUGGGGAAUAUUGCACAAUGGGCGAAAGCCUGAUGCAGCUAUGCCGCGUGUAUGAAGAAGGCCUUAGGGUUGUAAAGUACUUUCAUCGGGGAGGAAAAACAAAACUAAUAAUUUUAUUUCUUGACGUUACCCGAAAAAGAAGCACCGGCUAACUCCGUGCCAGCAGCCGCGGUAAUACGGAGGGUGCUAGCGUUAAUCAGAAUUACUGGGCGUAAAGAGCACGUAGGUGGUUUUUUAAAGUCAGAUGUGAAAUCCCUGGGCUUAACCUAGGAACUGCAUUUUGAAACUGAAAUACUAGAGUAUCGUAGAGGGAGGUAGAAUUCUAGGUGUAGCGGUGAAAUGCGUAGAUAUCUGGAGGAAUACCUGUGGCGAAAGCGGCCUCCUAAACGAAUACUGACACUGAGGUGCGAAAGCGUGGGGA